rnacentral:lncRNA from 11 species
GGAAAUUUCAGUGCAAUCAACUCCAGGGAAAGUACUGCCUUAAGAAAGUGGAAGGCGCUCGAGUGCAACCAAUCCUACUGCCUCCUUAAGAAAGGUACUUUGUUUCAGACAAAGGAGCUUGAAGGCAGGGCUGCCUUCAAGGAUGCCUGUUUUAAAAAGUGUGCUGGUAUCCUUGAAAUAGCAGGAGUCAUUGCCUGACCAUGUGAAGGGAAGCGGAUGGUUGAGUUAAAAGCUGGAGGAGCCAGUAUAAUGAAAUCCAUCCCAGAAGUAUUAUCUGGAUAUUGCUUUCUGACUGUGGCAAGCUUUAAAAGGAAAAAAGUAUCCAGUGCUAGUUCAUACUCAUUUAUCUUGGAAAAUAAUCUCGUUUCAUCCUGCA